GGUGAGAUGGCCGAGUGGUUAUGGCGCUGCGUUCAGGAGAAACCCUGGAUUUCAACAUGUGUGUAAAGAAAACAUCGUGAACAAAUUUCGCAGUGGAGCAAUCCGCGUGGGUUCGAGUCCCACUCUCAUCA
rnacentral:tRNA from 2 species